UACGUAGGGGGCAAGCGUUAUCCGGAUUUACUGGGUGUAAAGGGAGCGCAGACGGCAGUGCAAGUCUGGAGUGAAAGCCCGGGGCCCAACCCCGGAACUGCUCUGGAAACUGUGCGGCUAGAGUACUGGAGGGGCAGGCGGAAUUCCUAGUGUAGCGGUGAAAUGCGUAGAUAUUAGGAGGAACACCAGUGGCGAAGGCGGCCUGCUGGACGACAACUGACAGUGAGGCGCGAAAGCGUGGGGAGCAAACAGG
rnacentral:rRNA from 1 species